GAUCCUGGCUCAGGAUGAACGCUAGCUACAGGCUUAACACAUGCAAGUCGGAGGGGCAGCAUGGUCUUAGCUUGCUAAGGCCGAUGGCGACCGGCGCACGGGUGAGUAACGCGUAUCCAACCUGCCUUACACUCUUGGACAGCCUUCUGAAAGGGAGAUUAAUACAAGAUGUUAUCAUGAGUAAGCAUUUUCACAUGAUUAAAGGUUUACCGGUGCAAGAUGGGGAUGCGUU
rnacentral:rRNA from 1 species